rnacentral:lncRNA from 1 species
UCGAAUCAAAGCUGCAGCUGCUGGCCGACACCACAGCGACAGCUGCGCCAGAUCUGAGCUGUAUCUGUGACCUACGGCGCCGCAGAUUGCAGUAACGCCAGAUCCUGAACCCACUGAGCAAGUCCAGGGAUCAAACCUGCAUCCUCAUGGGCACUGGUCUGCUUCUUAACCCGCUGAGCCACAGCGGGAACUCCUGUGGGUGGGGGCCCGGCCCGGGCUUCGAGGGCAGAGGAAGGAUGGGGACAGCGUCACGUGCAAGUCGAUGCGAGGGCUCAGAGGAGGGGACGUCGCUCCUUUGGCUGGUGACGUUCAGGACCCUUCUUCUCUUGCCGCGGGUUCCCUGCAGGCCACAGAGGCUCACAGAACUCAGUGCCAGGGGCCCAUCCAUCAUGGGACAGCUGUGCCCAAGGGCAUCCUAUCAGCAGCUGCAGGGUCCAAGCCCUCAGACUCGUGUGCCUACAGUCAGCCUGUGACAACGGUUGGAGGUCAACCACCCUUGUCCCUUGCGUGCAUGUCCUCAGGGUCCACAUUGCCUCCUGGCACCAUCCUGCGGUAGGGCACAGGGGUUGGGUGUGGGGACUCAGGUGCCAGAUGGCGCAGGCUCAGGAGCCUGGCCUCUGCUGCAAAGCCUUUCCCACCUGGAGGAUGGAGACAGAGCAUCACCUCACGCAUGGGGCUCGGGUCUGCUCCCGCACCCUGUGCAGGGGGCGUGUUGGCUCCGCGAACAUUGGCUGCUUCUACAAGGCUCCGUUCCUCUCCCUCUCCCUGCGAGGCUGAGCUGGAGAAUCACGGGGGCCAGAGGCCACGUCGAUGGAGCAACGGAGGGCAGACAGGACGGCCUCUUCCACCUUCGACACAGCUCUGACCUUGUCACGGGGCAGGGAGGGAAUGGAGCUGGCAGCUCGCUUGGCCUUUCCUCGCUGGAUGUGCCUCCCAGGCCCCCUCUUCAGGGAUGAGGGCUCGUUCUGGCGGCGGCGGCGGCUCAAGGCCGCCCCUUGAAGGAAGCACCUCACCCAAGGCCUGGCUGCCCUCAUCGGACGCGCGACUGAAGAACCCAGCACAACCCGGAUGCGUCGACCAAGGUCUUCAUCCGAGUCCUGAGCAGCACCCCCAAAGCAUGUCGACACCCUGAGUCUGCUUUGGGGGUGCUUCUCUCCAACUCUGAAAUUCUAAAUGACCCCCUCCCCUCCCCCUCUUCUUCCCUGCGAGUGCAGAGGGAAGGUGAGACUUAGGGGCCCGGGAGUCCUGCCUCCCCAGUGGUCCUGGACCCCGACAACUACCCAACACCACUGCUGCUGGGUGACGGAGGCGAUGUCGUAAUUUGCUUUGGCCAUUUCUGGGCAUCCUGUGACUUGAGACUUUUCUAAUGGUGAGAUGGCUUUAGUUUAACCUUCAAAAGCCAAAGCCACCUAGGCAGAACCCAGGCAGGUGUUUAGGGAGUGCCUGAUGCACAGGACACCUCUGGCACUUUGAGGAAAGACUAAUGGAAGAGAAAUUCCGCCCAAGGGGUCCGGGGGUGGAAGGGGGCCCAGCCUCCCUCUCUCCAGAGGACCUCUCUUCCUGCAAGAAUGAGGCACGAAGAGCAGGUCCAGCCUGACCCUGGCCCCCCUCAGUCCAGGGGAGUGUGCAGAAGCCCUCAGACCACAGGCAGCUCGGAGAACCAGCAUCCUCCGAGGAGGGACUGGACACUGGCCGGCAUCUCUUCCAUCUGUCACAGAACAGAUUCAGGAAAGGCAGGCCCCUGAGGCUUCCAGCAGGGCGGGGACACCAGGCUGGGGCGGUGUCACCGCACCACCUGGGGAUGUAUUUCCCACUGGUACCAAGGAAUGGUUCCCUUGGGACCCAGCCACGGGCAAGUCCUGAGCAGCACUGGGCGGGGACACAGGAUGCCACCCCCAGCGAGACUGUGGUUCUCUGAAGAAGACAAGGCGGCAGUAAUCAAUCGCGAUCUUGACCUUGAAGGAGAAGCCAGGCCCUUCUCUGGGAUUUUCACCCACGCGCGAAAGGAAGCUGCUGGAGUCGGCUGGCAGGGCGAGGUCUGGGGACAGAGGAAGCAGGUCACCCCCGGGGCUGGGGGGUGGGGGUGCAGCUUCAAGCCCAGAGGGGCUGCCAGCCCGGAGCUGUCCUUGCUCCGUCAGAAGCUGAGGGCUUGUGACCCCCUGAGCUUUUCUUCUCCGCUUGCUCAACCACUAAGCAGCUGAGUGGACUCAUCUCCCCAAACCCACAUCCCCGCCCAUUCAGGGACCGUGCUGGGCAGUGUUGCUGCGAAGAUCUGUGAAAGCCACCCGCCUCCUGCUCGUAGACUCCCUCCCAGGAUUGUGGGGAAAAGAUGCCAUCUGGUAAAGGAAGCCUAUUUCCUUGGGGUCUGCAGGAAAUCCUCCCAGCCUUCCAAAGUGACACCGUCUGGACACGCUUCCCUUCAGCCAAGGACCAUGCUAGUGCAGCAGGACUACACCUACCUGGUCCAGGGCUCAGCAUGACGAAUGAUGUGCCCUUAACAGUCACCUGUGACAGGAGGCGGGACGCUGAGCUCAGGGAAGCUGGGGGAUGUGGGAUUGGGCCCGGAACGCCCCUUCUGCCAUGCAGUCCAAGGCCUCCAGCCCCGCCUGCCAGGGCAGUGGGCUGGGAAGGACGGGAGGCCAGUGGGCACCUGCAGCGUCCAGGUGUCACAAAAUCAUGGGAGGCUCUCCGGGGUUGGAGGAAGGACCCUUCCAGCUCCUACUGAGGCUCCAUCUCCCCAUCAGAUGCUUUCAGCCCCCUAAAUAAGAACUCCUAAUCAGCAACGAUGAGACAGGAAGACAGGCAGCAGGGAGAAGACACUGCCGGCAGCUCUCAGUAGAAGCCUGAGGAGCCAGGAGGGCAAAAACGCUGCUGAAAAGGGUCUCAUCUUCAUUCUUGGAGACACAGAUCACCUGGACUCGCUGAAACGCACUUUAGUCCUCCUGUACCACUCCCAGUGUCUCCACUAGGCUCGUCUGUCCCCGGCCUUCCUGCCCUUGCCCGCUCUGUCUCCUUUUUUUUAAUUUGUUUUUCCUCUUAGGGCUGCAGGUGCAGCAUAUGGAGGUUCCCAGGAUAGGGGUCCAAUCGGAGCUGCCCCUGCCAGCCUACACCACAGCCACAGCAACUCGGGAUCUGAACCACGUCUGCAACCUACACCACAGCUCAGGGCAACACCAGAUCCUUAACCCACUGAGCAAGGCCAGGGAUCGAACCCUCAACCUCAUGGACACUAGUCGGGUUCGUGACCACUAAGCCACGAUGGGAAGUCCCUCCAUCUCCUUCUGAAGUGUGUUUAAGCCCAUCUCUGAGCUGGUGGGGGCUCAGAAACACACUCUCCCUGAGAGCGGCCACAGCGCCCAAGGCCUUGACCAUGGAAGAUAGCGUUGGUCCCACCUCAACGCCAGGAAGGAGGACACAAAGGCGAGCCCAGUGCAGCCCAGCCCCUGGCCCCACCUGAGGCCCGAGUACCCCCAAAGGUCCCCAAGACUCACUUUCUGGAGUCAAGGUGCAAACUCCUGGGGGGCCAAUGAAAGAACGGCAGGUGCGCCAAGGAGAUGAAGGCGGACAGACAUUAACCCCAGAAGGCCAGCUGCUGAUCACCUCCCCCUAGGCUGUCGCAUUCCAACCCAGGGGAGUCCGGCUCCAAGCCACUGAACUCUCCCGGGGCCCUGCCAAGGGAGGGGGGUGGGGGGAGAGCCCAGGAGCCCUCGGGUGUGUUCUGCUCCCAGGUGGAGGCUGUCCUCACCCCCACCCCAACUCUCAGCAGCCCCUCCGGAGACUUGGCCUUCAAGUUCCUGGCAAAGGCCCUUUCCAGCCACAGUCAGCUGAGCGCUCAAGCCCUGCACCCCCUGGGCUCCCUCUGGCUUUCACUCUGGGCUCAAGGCUUCGGCCCCCUGGACCAUCUCGCUGUAAGGAAAGAUGACGGACGACGCAAAUUCGUAAAUGUAUUUAGUUACAGGGCACAGAGAUGAAUAUACAUUUGAAUUUCUAGUUCAAGAACCACUUUCAUGGAGAAGAAUAAAAUUAGGUUACUGAGAAACCUGGGCAGUAUGGGGGCACAGCUCCACGCUGAGGGUGGCCUUCCCCACGGGCCCUUUACAAGGAGAAGACACCAGGACUCUGGGGGUGCCCCCUUCCUGCUUUUACCCAUGGAUCUCAUCUCCAUCUCCCCACGCCCUAUGGGGAAGGUGGGGGCUACGAUCCACCUAUUUCACAGGUGAGAAAACUGAGGAUCGGGAAGCAUCAAAGUGCCUGGGAAAACACGGGAGCCAUGGCGGGCCAGAACUGCUUGGACCUGGACGCCCAAACUCAGGGCCCUCCACCUCGCCGCCCCCUGCAGAGCAGAGGACCCCCUCAGAUGCUCACACAAAGGAGUCUGCUCUCCAGGUCCAGCCUGCCUCCGGCCCCGCCCGCGUGGUUCCAGGGUGGUGAGGCCUGGCCUUGUGCCCAUCACCCCUCCCUCUCUGCUUGUGCUUGGCAUCUUCUGCCAGCGGAGGUGCCAGACUGGCUUCCCAUCAAAGGGUUUCGGAGCCGUCUAGAAUACCCCCCGGCAGAUUUAUGAUGCUUUUCCUCGUCCGCCGGCCUGAGCAAAAGCCCGAACGACCGUCCCCAGGUCGGAGAUGGAGGGAGAAAGCAACGAACACAACACUGUUCCUGAAAGUUGCCCUUUUACUGAACCAACAAGCCCUGGAUCCUCUGACACGUUCCUCUGUGGUCCCGGACUCCUGUAAGGUUUGUAAACAACCGAUGCAGCCGGCGUUUUCGGAAGUGGUUCAGGGGGUUAACUGAGCCUUUGGAUGCUCAAGGCUCGCCCUUUUUGCUUUCCCACCAUGCUGCCUGGCUGCUGCAUUUCUCCCCAUCAUUAUCAACACCAACGGCCUCACCAAGGUGGUCUCCGGGGUGGGACGGGAAGGGUAGAUGUCACAAUUCUCAAGGGAACCCGUGGUCCAGCAGAGGAGACAAAAGUCUGCCCCCCCCCACCCCGCCCCCGUCCCAAUCUGGGACAACUCUAAAGGGCCACCCCAGAUCCCGGGGGUCAGCUGGGGCCUUUGCUGUGACUGCUCUAUGGCCCAGCUUGUCCCUCUGCCCCAUCAGUUUUCUUUCCUGCCCCCAUCACUGAAGGACCAAAGCCAGAGGCACAGAAUCGUGGGCUAAGAAUCAUUUGUGGGCGAAGGUUCCUUUGGAAAGGCAGAUCACCACUGAACAAGGAAUAGAAGCAGGUGUGUCCGUUUGACUUUAAGUCCUAUUUUAUUAUGGUUGUAAACGCAGUGCCCAGGUGCCAAGCCUUCAGAACCGUGCUCUGAACCCUCCCUGAAAACUGCGCCUCCCCCCACCUAGAGAAGGAGGGCAUGGGUGGAGAGCGGACGGCGGUACCAGCCUGGAGCCUGCAUCUGUGUGGAAAGGGCUCCACCAUCGCCCCCCACUGCCCACAGCCUUGAGUCUGAGCCAGCGAAAGUCACAGCUGCUUUGAAAUCGUUUUCUGAUCUGACCGAGGGGCAGGCGCCCCUGCCGAGCGCCACGCAGGCCAGGCAGGUGGGGCUGGGCUUCCCAGAACCUUUCUCACCUGUGCCACGAACACCCACCUGCCAGAGAGGGCUCUUUCCUUCCCAGCAUUCCUCCAGGAGCAAACCCGAGUGCUCCUGCCUGCUUUGCCACUGGCCAUCAUGCGACCUCUCGAGGCUGCCUCCGCUGUGCUCCACAGCGAGCCGCCAGCCCUCUGCUCCAGGGGCCACCACGCACGCCCCAGGCCCCUUCCGCACCUGCUAGGGAAGCCUCCAGCUGGGUUCCUCCCUUAACCCAGUCUGGCACUGCUGCCCAGCCUUUCCCUCUGUCUUUGAGCCGAGGAUAUUCUGUUACCUGUUCUCCAAGGUCAUUUUGGAAAUCUCAGAAUCCACUUAACAAGCAAAGAAGAGUUGUGAAAAGCUACCUCUCUGUUCUCCUGGCACCGGCCCCUCUCCAAGGGCAAGACAGCUCCUCUGAGGCGCUCCCAUCCUCAGUGAUGAAAGAGGGGGCUGUCAAACACCAGCCUUGGGAGCCCGAGCUCCAUGCUCCUUGCUCACUUCUCUCACCCUCGCCUCCAGCCCCUCGAAGCCCACCCUCCUUGGAAUGAAGCAGUUUCCACACAAUCGUGGUGCCUGAGCCAGAUGUGACUUUAGAUUNUUUUGUCUUUUUGCCUUUUGUAGGGCCGCUCCCACGGCAUAUGGAGGUUCUCAGGCUAGGGGGUCUAAUCGGAGCUAUAGCCGCCGGCCUACGCCACAGCCACAGCAACUCGGGAUCCAAGCCGUGUUUGCGACCUACACCACAGCUCAUGGCAACGCCGGAUCCUUAACCCACGGAGCAAGGCCAGGGAUCGAACCCACAACCUCAUGGUUCCCAGUCGGAUU